rnacentral:rRNA from 1 species
CAAUAGCGUAUAUUAAAGUUGUUGCAGUUAGAACGCUCGUAGUCGGAUUUCGGGGCGGGCCGACCGGUCUGCCGAUGGGUACGCACUGGUCGGCGCGUCCUUCCUUCCGGAGACCGUUCCUACUCUUAACUGAGCGGGGGCGGGAGACGGAUCGUUUACUUUGAAAAAAUCAGAGUGUUUCAAGCAGGCAACUCGCUCUUGCAUGGAUUAGCAUGGGAUAAUGAAAUAGGACUUUGGUGCUAUUUUGUUGGUUUCGAACACCGAAGUAAUGAUUAAUAGGGACAGUCAGGGGCACUCGUAUUCCGCCGAGAGAGGUGAAAUUCUCAGACCAGCGGAAGACGAACCACUGCGAAAGCAUUUGCCAGGGAUGUUUNCACUGA